rnacentral:rRNA from 1 species
UACAGAGGUCUCAAGCGUUGUUCGGAUUCAUUGGGCGUAAAGAGCGUGUAGGCGGCCAGACAGGUCCGUUGUGAAAACUCGAGGCUCAACCUCGAGACGUCGACGGAAACCGUCUGGCUAGAGUCCGGAAGAGGAGUGUGGAAUUCCUGGUGUAGCGGUGAAAUGCGCAGAUAUCAGGAAGAACACCGAUGGCGAAGGCAGCCAUCUGGACCGACACUGACGCUGAGGCGCGAAAGCGUGGGGAGCAAACAGG